rnacentral:rRNA from 1 species
UUAACGAGUGGCCUUGUGCCGCGAAGUGAUUGAUACCAUGCUUCCAAGAAAAGCCUCUAAGCUUCAGUUACAAAGAGACCGUACCGCAAACCGACACAGGUGGGCAGGAUGAGAAUUCUAAGGCGCUUGAGAGAACUCAGGAGAAGGAACUCGGCAAAUUAGCACCGUAACUUCGGGAGAAGGUGCGCCCUGGUAGCGUGAAAGCCCUCGCGGCUGGAGCGUGAAAGGGUUGCAGUGAAAUGGUGGCUGCGACUGUUUAAUAAAAACACAGCACUCUGCAAACACGAAAGUGGACGUAUAGGGUGUGACGCCUGCCCGGUGCCGGAAGGUUAAGUGAUGGGGUGCAAGCUCUUGAUCGAAGCCCCGGUAAACGGCGGCCGUAACAAUAACGGUCCUAAGGUAGCGAAAUUCCUUGUCGGGUAAGUUCCGACCUGCACGAAUGGCGUAACGAUGGCCACACUGUCUCCUCCUGAGACUCAGCGAAGUUGAAAUGUUUGUGAAGAUGCAAUCUCCCCGCGGCAAGACGGAAAGACCCCAUGAACCUUUACUGUAGCUUUGCAUUGGACUUUGAACCGGUCUGUGUAGGAUAGGUGGGAGGCUUUGAAGCUGGGACGCUAGUUCUGGUGGAGCCAACCUUGAAAUACCACCCUGGUUUGUUUGAGGUUCUAACCAUGGCCCGUGAAUCCGGGUCUGGGACCGUGCAUGGUAGGCAGUUUGACUGGGGCGGUCUCCUCCCAAAGUGUAACGGAGGAGUACGAAGGUACGCUAGGUACGGUCGGACAUCGUGCUAAUAGUGCAAUGGCAUAAGCGUGCUUGACUGCGAGACCCACAAGUCGAGCAGGUACGAAAGUAGGUCAUAGUGAUCCGGUGGUUCUGUAUGGAAGGGCCAUCGCUCAACGGAUAAAAGGUACUCUGGGGAUAACAGGCUGAUACCGCCCAAGAGUUCAUAUCGACGGCGGUGUUUGGCACCUCGAUGUCGGCUCAUCACAUCCUGGGGCUGUAGCCGGUCCCAAGGGUAUGGCUGUUCGCCAUUUAAAGUGGUACGUGAGCUGGGUUUAAAACGUCGUGAGACAGUUUGGUCCCUAUCUGCCGUGGGCGCUGGAAAUUUGAAGGGACCUGCUCCUAGUACGAGAGGACCGGAGUGGACUAACCUCUGGUGUACCGGUUAUGACGCCAGUCGUAUCGCCGGGUAGCUAAGUUGGGAAGAGAUAAACGCUGAAAGCAUCUAAGCGUGAAACUCGCCUUAAGAUAAGAUUUCCCUGGGGACUUGAUCCCCCUGAAGGGUCGUCGAAGACCACGACGUUGAUAGGCUGGGUGUGGAAGCGCAGCAAUGCGUUAAGCUAACCAGUACUAAUUGCCCGUGUGGCUUGAUU